UCCACACCAAAGCACCCUACACUAUACCACACUACAUCACUCCACUAGAACAAACCCCUCUUUCUCUCAACCAGCCCUAAACUGCCACCUGCCCUAUGGAGCCGCCAUCCUCACUCCACCCUGAACCACUACCUAAAUCAUGAGAGUCCUCACCUACUGUCGACAAAAUCACCUCCUAAACAAACCCCCACCUUCGAUUGGCCCCACAAAACCAUGCAGGGGCCAAAUAUCUACAAGAACCCUAAAUCAUACAACCCACGACCUAUUGUCGACGGAAUCACCUCCCAAACACAACCGCCACAUUCAAUUAGCCCAACAACACCAUGUGAAAUGUCCAAGAAAAGCUUUGCGUUCACAAAUUGUAAAUCCAAAAACCUUGAAUAUGUUAUGGUGAUGGCAGGAAGAGAUGAACAAUCGAGCUGGGAUGGAAAAGGGAAGAGAAGUACCAGACCAAGGAAGAAGGAAGAAGAAGAAAUUCCAAUGGCCAACUGAUUUUGGAAUCCACAGAUGAUGUCGUUUGGUUAAAUGAGAUACGCCGUCGUUUUGAUUUUUGAGUCUAAAAUUGUAAAUGGACAAACACAUUUUUGACAAACACGUUUUGUUUCCUUUGUUGCACAAUUUUGGGAUCUGUUAGAAACAGAUCCAACGAGGGAAAGAGAGGUUGGUAUAUGAAAUUUCUCUUAUGGAUUAUCUCUUUCUUUCUUUCUUUCUUUUUUUCUUCUUCUCCAAUGUAUUGUCUUCAUUUCGUAGUGUAAACAUUAAUGGCUUCAAUUAAUCUUUUGGGUGUUGAGUUUUAUUUAAUUUCUAGUUAAUUAUUGUGUUUGAUUGUAUCUCAGGUUGAGAUUUGAAGCUCAACCAUAACAAAUUGGUAUCAGAGCAGCUACAUGAACUGGGUAUGUCGGAAAACUAAAAGAAAAUCAAAUGAGGAGCAAUUUAGGAGAUUGGACAAAGAAAUAUCAACUUUGGGUGUCUGUUAAAACAAAUGACCAGUUGCUACAGGUUGUUUGUACUAGACAAGACCGGAUGGAGCAAAUGAUGGGAGAAAUGAAGGCUACACAAGAGUCUAUGGCGUUGAUGUUAGCUCAAUUAAUUGGGAGUAAGGCUGAUCACAAAGAAAAAGAAGUAGAAUGAUAUAGGCCACCAUCUCAAACCAAUGGAGGUAGCCCUAGAAGAAAUAAAAUUACCUCCAGUAAUUCUAGCGGAAACAAAGAAGCUAGGAUGGUGACCAGACUACCCAAGAUAGACUUCACUUAUUUUAAUGAGGAAGGGGCCAGAGAGUAGCUGAGGAAGUUAAGCAAGUAUUUCCAUAUCCAUCAAGUAGAGGAUGAAAUGAAGUUGGGCAUAGCUGAGAUGUAUCUCAAAGGAAAGGCAGACAUAUGGUUCCAUUGCUUUAUCUCCAACCAUCCUAAUAUUGAUUGGGGCAUGUUUUCCAAAGAGAUUUGCAAAAAAACAUGGCUGAAGAAGUGAUAGAAACCUUUAGCAAACUAAGGCAAGGAGGAACCAUUGCAGAAUAUUAGGAACAGUUUGAAGAAUUGAAAUCCCAAGUGACGAUUUCCCUACCUCUCUUACUAGAAUCCUACUAUAUUUCAAUAUUCAUCAAUAAUUUGAAGGAUGAGAUCAAAUCCAUGGUUAAAAUUAUGCAACCCCCAACCUUAGCCAAAGCUUUUGAGAUUGCUUUACUUCAAGAAAAUUCCAUCACAGCCCUUAAUAAAGGUCUAAAAACCUUCAAAGCAUAUCCCCAAACAAAAUGAUCUCACCCCAGUCCUAGUCCAAAUGAACCUCCAACUAAACCUACACCAUACAGCAAACCAAACCCAAAGAAAUCCUCCAGUCCAUUGAAAUUCUAAGAUAUCACCCCGUUUGACUUCCAAACAAAAAAAGAGUUAGGAUUAUGUUAUCAAUAUGAUGAAAAGUAUAGUAGGGGUCAUGUGUGCAAAAAUAAGAUUCUCAAUUUCAUAUUGGUGGAUAAAAGGGUGGAAGGGGAGUUAGAUGAACCUCCAUGGGAGAAAAUGGAUCAAGCGGAGAAAGGAGAACUAGAGAAGAUAAUGGGAAUCUCCAUCUAUGCAUUGAUGGGCAACAACAGAGCAAAAACCAUCAGGCUACUAGGGAUGAUCAAAAAGAGAAAAGUGUCUAUAUUAAUUGAUAGUUGGAGUACCCACAGUUUCAUUUAUGAAACCUUGGUAAAAAAUAUCAACUCCUAGAUGCAGCCAGCAACACUUACUUCAAUUAUUGUGGCAGGAGGUGAGAAACUCAUUAGUAAGGCAAUUUGUAAUCCACUGAUAUGGAAGAUGCAAGAUCUAGAAUUCCAAUACCAGCUGAGGAUAUUGAAAUUAGGAGGCAAUGAUAUGGUCUUGGAGGUGGAUUGACUAAGUCAGUUCAACCCUGUGUUAUUUGAUUUUCUGAGAGGCAACAAAUCACAAUCAUCACUAAGAAAGAGACAGAGGUCAUCCCUAUUGAACUUAAGGCUACUGUAGAUCAAUUUUCCAUAGUUUUCUUAGAACCUAAAUGUUUAUCACCAUCUAGGUUCAAUAACCAUCAUAUUCCAUUGAAAGAAAGGGCUCAGCCCUUUAAAAUCAGGCCUUAUAAGUACCCAUACAUUCAGAAAGCAGAGAUUGAAAGGAUGGUUAGGAAGAUGAGAAAAAGUGGUAUAAUACAACCAAACAACAGCCCUUAUGCCUCACUCGUGUUAUUGGUCAUGAAGAAAGAUGGGAUAUGGAGAUUUUGUCUUGAUCAUAAAUAGUUGAAUACCCUCAUAGUCAAGGACAAGUACCCUAUGUCCUUAAUUGAUGAAUUGUUGGAUGAACUUAAAGGGGCAAAGUGGUUUACAAAAAUCGACCUAAGAGCAGGAUACCAUCAAAUCAGGGUGGCUGAAAAAGAUGUCCACAAGAUAACUUUUAAGACCUAUGAGGGUCUUUAUGAAUUUAGGGUCAUGCUAUUUGGGCUUACAAAUGCCCCUGCCCCUGCUACUUUUCAAUGCCUAAUGAACGAAGUAUUCAAGCAGCACUUAUGUAGUACAUUUUUGUUUUUAUUUUAUUUUAUGAUAUACUGGUAUAUAGCCCAGACUUGAAGAAACAUUGUAAACAUGUUACUGCUGUCUUAGAACUUUUAUAUUAACACCAAUUGUAUGCUAAGAGGAACAAGUGCUCUUUUAGCCAAUCUAUCAUAGAGUACUUAGGCCACACUAUAUCCGCAGAGGGAGUGUCAGCAAAUCCCUCUAAGAUAGUGGCAAUGCAGGAAUGGCCUAAGCCAGCUAAUGUUGAAUAGUUAAAAGGAUUCCUUGGCUUAACUCGGUAUUACACAAGGUUCGUAAGGGGAUAUGGAGCCAUAGCAAAGCCACUAAUUGAAUUACUAAAGAAGGAGAACUUCUAUUGGGGGAGGCUGCUGAAUCAGCUUUUCAAGAAUUAAAGCAUGCUAUGAGUACCACCCUAGUACUGGCUUUACCAUAUUUCUCUAGCCCGUUCAUUGUGGAAAUAGAUGCAUGCUAUGCGGGGUUAGGUGCAAUGCUAAUGCAGAACAAGAGGCCAAUAGCAUACCUAAGUAAAGGAAAUAGCAACAGGAAUUUAGGGUUAUCAAUUUAUGAGAAUGAACUGUUAACUCUGGUGACUGCGGUAGGAGAGUGGAGGUACUGUUUAGAAGGUCACCACUUUAUCAUUAAGAUAGAUCAUCAGUCACUCAAGUCCUUACUUGAGCAAAGGAUCACUACUCCAUUAUAGCAGAAGUGGCUAUCUAAACUCUUGGGACUGAGUUAUGAAAUACAUUAUAAAAAGGGUGUUGAUAACAGAUGGCAGAUGCCUUGUCCAGGAGAGAAGAAAAGGCGGCUGAAUGCUUGGCAAUCACUGAGGUCACUUCCAUGUGGGUUGAAGAAGUAAUAGCUAGCUAUAAAGAAGAUUAGACGCAGAAGGUAAAAUCACUAUUGUGCUACUCUCUAAAGACAUUGAGCAAGAUUACCGGUACAUGAAUGGACUUCUCAAAUACAAGUCAAGAAUGUAUAUUGGUAUUGGGGAAGGAGUAAGGAAGAAGUUGAUUGCAACCAUACACUCAUCCCAGAAAGGGGGCACUCAGGAUUAUAGGCAAGUAUACACAGGGCCAAGUAAUUCUUCAUCUGGCCUGGGAUAAACAGGGAUAUUAAACAAAAGGUGUUGGAGUGUGACAAGUACCAAAGGUGUAAAGGGGAACAUGUAACUUACCUAGGAUUAAUUCAAUCCCUAUCAAUACGACAAUAUGCUUGGAGCCACAUUUCCAUGGACUUCAUUGAAAGGCUACCUACUUCUGGAUCAAAGAAUGUGAUAUUGGUGGUGGUGGACCGGUUCACCAAAUAUGCUCAUUUCUUAACUCUCUCACAUCCAUUCACAGCCCCAACCAUCGCCAAGUUAUUCCUGGAAAACAUCUACAAGUUGCAUGGAAUGCCUCAAAACAUUGUUACGGACAGAGAUAAGAUAUUUACAAAUGAGUUUUAUCAGGUAUUGUUCAAACACCUGAGGAUUAAAUUGUAGUUAAGCACAUCCUACCACCCACAAACUAAUGGGCAGAUAGAAAGACUAAACCAAUGCCUUGAAAUGUACCUAAGAUGCAUGGUUUACAAGUAACCAAAACAAUGGAUUAAGUGGAUUAGCCUAGCUGAAUGGUGGUACAGUACUACCCUGCGUACCUUUAUUCGAAUGACACCUUUUGAAGUCUUAUAUGGUAUCAAACCUUUACAACUAGCCUUGAGGCCCUAUCAGCAGACUAACAUUGCUUCAGUUGAAGAUAUUUUGCAAAAAAGGCAGAAGAUAAAUAAAUGCUAAAAGAAAACCUUGCCCAAGUCAGUGCCAAGAUGAAGUAUUAUGCAGAUCAACAUAGAAGUGAAAGGGAAUUCCAAGUCGGGGAUUGGGUAUAUUUAAAGCUUUAUCCAUAUGCUCAGUAAACUGUAACAAGGAGAUCCAACAAAAAGCUAUCUGCAAAGUAUUAUGGCCUUUACAAGGUAGUGCAAAAGGUUGGGAAGGUAGCCUAUAAACUAGAGUUACCUGCUGCAUCUCAAGUCCACCCCAUUUUUCGUGUUUCUCUACUGAAAAAGAAAAUUGGGGAGAAAGAAGUUCCAACUGGUGCACUAUCGGAAUUUUAUAGGGGCAAGGGACACACAUUCAACCACUACAAGUUCUAUCUACAACGAUGAUCAACCUAAAAUAGCAAAGCCAUUGCUUAAUGGCUAGUUCAUUGGGAAGGUUUCAACGCCGAUGAUGCUAUGUGGGCGAGAGCAAAUGAAAUAAAGGCUUUUUCCCCAAAUUUUCAAUCUUGGGGAUAAGGUUAUUCGAAUGGAGAGGGAUGUUAUGGUGAUGGUAGGAAGGGAAAGGAACAAUCGGGCUGGGAAGAAAAAGGGAAGAGAAGUACUAGACCAAGGAAGAAGGAAGAAGACGAAGUUCCAAUGGCCAACUUUAGAAUCCACAAAUGGUGUCAUUUGGUUAAAUGAGAUAUGUUUUCGUUUUUAUUUUUGAGUCUAAAAUUUUAAAUGGAUGCACGAUUUUGGGGGAAAGAGAGGUUGGUAUGCGUAAUUUCUCUCACGGAUUAUCUCUCCCUCUUUCUUUUUUCCUUUCUUAUCUACUGUAUUGUUCUCAUUUCAUAGUAUAAACAUCAGUAGCUUCAAUUAAUCCAUUGAGUGUUGAGUUUUAUUUAAUUUAUGGUUUAUUAUUGUGUUUGAUUGUGUCCUGGGUUGAGAUUUGAAGCACAACCAUAACAUAAUCUAGCGUCAUCAAUGGGAUACACCCA
rnacentral:lncRNA from 1 species